rnacentral:lncRNA from 1 species
GGGAGAUGUCACUAGGAUCUGGUCGUCGUAUGGCGAGGGAGGGCUGGCCGGACUGAUGGGUCUGUCUGAAGAAGUUCACUUCCCUGAUGAACCUCAUGUCCCUCGGGUUCCACUUGUUCAGCCUCAGAUUUCUCAACCAGCUCCACCACAGGUGACCCAGGCUCCACAGGUGAGAGAGGUGGUCCAGCCACCAAAGCCAGCUCCCUCCAGUGUAAUAGCCCGACCAGUGAGAAAAGCUCCACCCACAACAAUCCAGGAUAUGAAAAGGUUUCCAGAGAUCAUCCCGGUCCAAGAGGUCAUUUUUGAAGAGACUGCAGAAGAAGAGUCCAGCGCUCCACCAUCAGAAAAAGGUGAUGAGGAGUUUCAGAGUGCUGCUUACGGCUCACCAACACCUUCAUCUCCGUGGCAACCAGGCAGCCUCGGCCACAUCGACAGCAACACUGCGUCCCUGACCGAAGCCUCGUCCUCCGUAGGUUCCCUGGACAUCAAGACUCCCGGUUGGUCACCUGAGCGACGCUCCCCUCUCCUGAUUAGUUCCCCGGAGAAAAAACCAUCGCUCCCUGGAGAGUCCAGCACCACGCUGUACUUCAGCGCGGAUGCACAGUCUCCCUCCAGUGGGAGCUAUCUUGGCUGGGGCUCCGAGUUGUCGCCCAUCUCUACCUACAGAAGUCCCUACCGGAUCAGGGAGGCUCGUUUUAUCACAUCC